CGACAGUGGCUCUGACUUUCUGUGACUACCACCAAGGUCUAUUGCAUGACUCUCUAUAUGUAAGUGUCUAACACUGCUCUCUAGAGACUAUAUUCCUUGAUCUGAUACCCACUUUGUGGCACACGUUCCUCCACUGUGCACAUUGUGUGCAGCACACACGUUAUUUUGUUUAUUUGCUUGUGUUUUAAUAUAGAUAUAACAAACUUUUUCCUCAUUGGACAUCUGAAGGCAAAGGGGGUCGUCAGCAUCUUUUUCUGGAAUCAUAUCAAAGAUGUGUCUACUCCAACCUCCAUGGUCUAAUCUGAAAGAAUUUAAAAAAAAUAUUGUUACUACCCAUGAUAGGGACGUUCCAAGUUAUGACAUGGACAAAAGAAAGUAUUGAGAGAGCCCUACACAGCAUGAGAUUGCCCAGCUGGGGUGUGGCUCGGUGAUACGGUGGUGCGACAUCCAGCGUCUCAGAAAGAAAACAAUACAGGUUUGAGAUGAGGUCCCUGAUUACCAUACUCUAAAUGCAUGAGCACUGUUGUCCAUUGAAACCUAAAAUAUAUGACAGGAGUGUAGGGAAUGGCAUCAUUGCUGAGCUUUAAGGAUGCUGUAGCUGCUAGCUUCCUUUCAUUGAAACCUAAUUUCUCCCGCGUCUUCUCUCAGCUGACUGCUGUUACACCCUAGAAAUGACAGUGCAGGACGCUGCGGCCCGAUGCUACUGAGCACUUGCAGUGAGGCUAGU
rnacentral:lncRNA from 1 species